UACGUAGGGUGCAAGCGUUGUCCGGAAUUAUUGGGCGUAAAGAGCUUGUAGGCGGUCUGUCGCGUCUGCUGUGAAAAUCCGGGGCUCAACCCCGGACUUGCAGUGGGUACGGGCAGACUAGAGUGUGGUAGGGGAGACUGGAAUUCCUGGUGUAGCGGUGAAAUGCGCAGAUAUCAGGAGGAACACCGAUGGCGAAGGCAGGUCUCGUGGGCCACUACUGACGCUGAGAAGCGAAAGCAUGGGGAGCGAACAGG
rnacentral:rRNA from 1 species